rnacentral:lncRNA from 1 species
AGGAGAGCAUGGAACACAACCCUCAUUUGCAUCCCACACCCUAGAAUCUGCAAGGACAUGACAGACUGGAAAAUAUGCUUUCACAAACCCACCAGAAGUGAAGCUUAGGCAGCAAAGCCCGCAGCUUCCGGGACAGUCACAUGAGCCUGAGCCCAGAUCGCAGCACAUCCAGAGACCAGAGCCAGGCCUUGGAGUUCUGUGACAGCCACUGCAAAUGACUGUGGGCACCGCAGGUCUCCACCAGCCCUGUGCCAAGCCGGUGAGGAUGCCCUGCCAUCUUCAAGGCUCACUGAGGCGGCGGGCUCUGGGUGCCCUCUGGCUGCUGCUGGAGCCCCCUGCAGAGCCCAGAUCAUUGCCCACAGAGAGCUUCUCAUUAAGAGCUUUCAGUUUAUAAUUUCUUGGUUCCUAGAAUUUUGUAGAGACUUAGAUUGACAGGAUUCUGGCAUGAAGUUAAUCCGCAUCUGCAACAGGCUCCAAACACGACCCACAUCCCGGCCCCAGGCAUGGGGCUAGGGCCCAACUGAGCUGGGCAAGAUCAGUUAUUCGUUGUCUUCAGAAUUCAUGUUUGUAAAAUGCGGGACCCAUGUCUUGGAGGGGUGACAGGAGCAGUGUUUAGAGCAUAGCACAGGGCCCGUGCCCAUCAGGCGUUAUUGCUGUGAGCUGCCUUUAUUCGUGCUCAAGUUAUCGAAUGUGAACAAGUUUAGUGUCAAAAACAAGAAGUCCAACACCGUGAUGCAGGAUUCAUCGAAUGUGGGCGUCCCUGCCACCUCUCCACUGGCCCCUGUGACAGUCGAUGCCUGAUGUCACCUGUCAGUUCAAUGUGUAAAAGCACAAAAGUAGAUUCCUGAAUUGUGUCAAUGCCACAGAACGGAAGGGGAUGGUGCUGCAGGUUAUUCCUGUGUUUCUAGGAAGGCAACAACUGGAUAGAAUCGGGCAGAAUGGAUUUUGUCUAGUGUUUGAUGGAAAUAAUAACCCCACAUGGCUUGUCAUACACACAAAAUGCAGAGAAAUAUGCAGCGUUCUGGAGUGUCCUGCACGCUGUCACAUGGGACCCCCAUCCACUCUUCCUAUCAAAAGGCUGAUGGAUCAUGGUCUCUGCAGAUGCAGGAACUGAGCUCAGAGAGAGGCCGUGUCUUCUCCAAGACCCCCAGCCAAUGAGAGGGACCCAGGCCUGAGCACAGGUUUCUGAAUCAGAGUCCUGCCUCUCACCUUCUCAAACGUCCUUGCUUCCCUUCCCACCAAGUUUUAAUUGAGUGCACCAGGAUUGCGGUCUUCCAAAGGCAUUUAUGUGAUUGCCUUUUCCUCUUCGAUUUCUCACCAGUUAGCUUAUAAAUGACAAAGUCUGCCCCGUGGAGAGAGCGUUCUUUAGAUUUUAAUAGAAAGACAUCAACAUCGCCAUGAAAAGAUGAAGACAAUGAAAAUAAUUAUUUAGUAGGAUAAUAAACGGAAUCUGGGCAGAGUCGUGCUGAGCAGCUAUGACUUGCAUCAGCGCAUCAUGGACUGGCAGCAACUCACUGCGCAGAAUGUCCGGGCCACAGGCUUGGGCUCCCCCGACACCCCGUUUCCCAUGGGCAUUUUCCCUACUGGGGACUAACAUCAGAUGGGUUCACACUCGUGAAAGACGCUCGGCACCAAGAAACAGGUGCCUGCAGGGCUGGUGCGACACAGGGACUCUGUGGUGUAGUAUGUGUGGCUGGUCGGUGUAUUAGCGAGGAUGGGGACACGGGUGUCCAGUAAGGAGUGCUUGAACGAAGGUCCUUGAUUCACAAAACAGGAACAGUGCUGACCGCCCGCCCUCCUUUAUCCCAGGAAGAACUCCAACUGACAUAGUUACAAACAGCAUGGAAUCCAAACCUUACCCUCAUCACACCGUAAAUAACAUCUUUGUACAGCACUUUAUGAUUUUUAAGUCACCUUGGCAUAUAAACAUACAUUUCUUUUACAUAAACACAUGUGCAUAUGAAGAGGAUAUGUGUGUGUGUUCACAAAAGUCACGUCUAUAUAUAGGACAUGGGGCUGGUUUUGGUAAAGCCCCUUGGAGAAGGGCCUAGGUGGGAGUCCUGGCUCAACCCCCAGGUCAGCUACUUGUCUUCGGGUCUGACCCUGAAGCCAGCUUCCCACAUCCCCACCCUAAAUUGUAUCAGGGAUCCUGAGAAGACUAAGGCAGUAUGGGGCUCUCCCAGCAGGGAACCUGUUCCUAAUUCAGAGCUUUGCACCCAGGGCCUUUGGGCGUCUGUGUGCCUGCUGUGGAUGGGAGACCCUGCCCCUGCAUCUUCCACGGAGAGGGUACGUAGCUUUCGGCAGACCACAAGACGCUGGAAGUGAAGGACACCCCUCCUUUAUUUACUCUGAAAGUUCUGUUUGCCUCACUAGAAUUCUGCAUCAUAAGAACUCCCGGACUUGUAUGGCCCCACUGUGAUGGCUGGAUCUCAGCUCCCCACAGCCCCUCUGAGGCAGCCAGGGCAGGUGUCCUUAUCCCCUUUGUAUCUGACUCCUCCAACAACCCUCAGGGUCAAUGAUCCACUAGAAGGAUUCACAGAACCUUACCAUUUAUUACAGAAAAGGACAUAGAUUAAAAUCCGCAAAGGGAAAACGUACUUGGGACAGAGUCUAGGAGAGACCAGCUGUGAGCUGCCCACUGUCCUGUCCUGAGGGAGCCACGAAUGCACUUCAUUCUCACAGCAACGACUGUGCCAGUGUGCACACAGCACCACCUGCCAGGGGAGCCCCCGAGCCUUGGGAUCCAGGGCUUCUCCUGGGAGCGGGUCACAUAGGCCUGCAUCAUCCCGCUGGCUAAUCCUAGUCACCCAGUCCAGCUAUCCCAGAGGUCACACUGAUGUAGCGUGGCUCUAGGCUGCACACAAAUCACUGUUAACAUGAACUCCAUGAACUCUUGGCCAUGGAUGGAGGUCGCUGGUAAACAAAGACACUCUUAUCAAGCAAGAUAAUCCAAGGGCUCAAAGGGUAUCCUCUGGGAAGGACAGGGCCAGACCUUCCUCUGAACGUGCAGGGUUUGGACACCCCAAGCCUGCUGAGUCAACCCUUUACUGCACGUCCUUGUGCAAAUGAGAAGGCGCACCAGGAAGUGUAAUCGCUUUCCCAAGUAACACAGUUCUUGAGGCCAGUAAACAAUAAGGCCACAGAUACUCCCAAUGCAUAUUUAGGAAGGGUGCAGUGUAGGAUGCCUUGAGGUUUUCCAUGAGCAUUGCUGAAUACUCUUAAAAUCCAGAGACCUGUGUCAGCCGGGGUAUUGUUUCCCGAGGCUAGAUAUAAGGCUGACAUAGUCAAACUUGCUGGCUACCUCUCAACACAGCCUGGGCCCAGGUGCGCACGGUCCUAAAACAAAGAAGUACGAGCUACUCUUUUGUAGUAGAGGAGGCUUCUAAGAAAGUAAAAUAUAAAUGACUGUAUUGGCAUUUUCAGCAUCUGUUGUGAAUCUAGUAGUUCCCACAAUGGGAGACCACCACACACCUGUGCAGGGCAGGGCCGAUGCUUCACACCUGGAGAACUGAACCAGGUGCCAGUGGGAACUGGGCGGACAGGGACGGCAGCCUCACUGGGGCUUUAGAAUCCAGAGAAGCCCAUCAGGCCAAGGGAAGGGAGUCCCAGUCCCCAGGCCUCAUGUGGGGCUGUGGUCAAGGCACACCCUGGAGCUCAAGGGUGAAGGGUACAGACUUUGGGAUGGGAAGUGUCUGGCUUUCAAUCCCUCCUACUCCACCCCCAAGCUGCACAGCCCUGUGCCAUGGCUUCCCCUCUUUAGCCACAGCUUUCAUCUCUAAAAUGAGUGUAAUAAUAAUAAUAAUACCUGUGUCGUUUUUCUGAGAAAUAAAUGAAGUAGACUGCAUGCCAAUGUGGAAGACAGCCGUGCUGGGAGGGUCGUCUGCCUUCAGUCAGCCCUACGCGGCCCCUUGGACCCAGGCCUCAGCAGCGUAAGACCAAGGCCCUGAGUGCUCACAGGAGAUGGUCCAGCCAGCCUCAGGCCUGUUGGGCAGCUGCCCAGGCUCAGACAGGGCAUAGCUGCUCGGGCAGUGAGGACAGGUGGUUGGAGCUUUUCUCCAGACACAGGUGCAGUGAAGGCCUGGGUUACUAUGAAGCAUCUACCGAGGGGCAGGUCUCAGGGCCUCCAGGACCUGAGCUCUUCCCUGGUGCGGGCCCUGGAGCUGGUGUCCAUCGAAGACUACGGGGCACACGCCCUGGGAGGUGGAGAAUUAGCCCCGCUCCGUCAUGCUCCUGUGUGUGUGGUGCGUGUGACUUCCUUUUAAAGAGAAGAGUGUGCGGAGGGGAAGCUUGGCGGGCAUGACCUCCACCAGGUGGACAAGGUCAGCAUGGUCAGUGACAAGUCACAUCGACAGCACUGCCCUUGACUGCCUGUGACAGGCAUAGAGCUCAUCUUUGGGGUCCUCCUCCCCGAAACCCACAGCCCCAGUCCGAUCUUGAGAAAAAACAUCAGACAAAACCCUCCUCCAAACAGCCAAGGUCAUUAGAAACCAGGAACGUCUGAGAAACGGUCACAGCCUA